rnacentral:lncRNA from 1 species
AGAAACCAAGACUUCAAGACCCGCCAAGCAAGACUCAUAGGUGGACAACAAAUACGCUUCGCUUCUGGAUAUGACAUCAGCGAAAAGAACACCAAGAACACCAUUAACAGACCUCAACAGAUCUCGAAAGCAAAGACAAGGAGAGAUGUCUAACCCCUCGAUUCACACUACCCUCAAACCAAGAACGAUGACACGAGAAAUCUAACACCCACAACGACCAACAACAACUAAGACCAAGAAGAGAGAUCACCUGCAAACUAAUGAAACUAAGCCCAACAUCAGAGAAGACGAAGCUUAUGGUAGGAAAGGGAUCAAGAUAACAAGGAACCAUUGGCAAAUAUGAGAGGAUAGCGAGUAAGCACAUGCCAAGAGCUGGAAUGACAGGAGCUCACGACCAAACUCGACCGACGGCAUAAGGACGACAAUAGGCACAAUAGCAACUAACAAAUCUAGGGUGAGAAUCAAAAAGGCUUGUUUACACAUAUCACACCACAGAUCAAACAGAUAUGGAAUCACUCUCUAUGCUGAAACUACCAAACUAAACAGAUAUGGCCACUCAUCCGCACAAACUACUCAAAAAUCCUGUUCAAACAAGACCAACAUCUCCCCAAACUUAAGCCUAUACGACAGCAAAACAAAGACCCAAAA